AUCUAGUAAAAUGAAAAUGAGGAUGAGACAUCAGG
rnacentral:tRNA from 1 species